UAACGCGUGAGCAAUCUGCCUUUGGAUGGGGGAUAACAGCCGGAAACGACUGCUAAUACCGCAUAAUGCAGCGGGACCGCAUGAUUUUGCUGCCAAAGAUUUAUCGUCCAAAGAUGAGCUCGCGUCUGAUUAGCCAGUUGGCGGGGUAACGGCCCACCAAAGCGACGAUCAGUAGCCGGACUGAGAGGUUGAACGGCCACAUUGGGACUGAGACACGGCCCAGACUCCUACGGGAGGCAGCAG
rnacentral:rRNA from 1 species